rnacentral:rRNA from 1 species
AUUGAACGCUGGCGGCAUGCUUUACACAUGCAAGUCGAACGGUAACAGGCCGCAAGGUGCUGACGAGUGGCGAACGGGUGAGUAAUGCAUCGGAACGUGCCCAGUCGUGGGGGAUAACGCAGCGAAAGCUGUGCUAAUACCGCAUACGAUCUAUGGAUGAAAGCGGGGGACCGUAAGGCCUCGCGCGAUUGGAGCGGCCGAUGUCAGAUUAGGUAGUUGGUGGGGUAAAGGCUCACCAAGCCAACGAUCUGUAGCUGGUCUGAGAGGACGACCAGCCACACAGGGAGUAAGAGACGGACCAGACUCCUACGGGAGGCAGCAGUGGGGAAUUUUGGACAAUGGGCGCAAGCCUGAUCCAGCAAUGCCGCGUGCAAGAAGAAGGCGUUCGGGUUGUGAACUGCUUUUGUACGGAGCGAAAAGGCUCUCUCUAAUACAGGGGGCUCAUGACGGUACCGUAAGAAUAAGCACCGGCUAACUACGUGCCAGCCGCCGCAGUAA